rnacentral:rRNA from 1 species
UACGUAGGGACCAAGCGUUGUUCGGAUUUACUGGGCGUAAAGGGCGCGUAGGCGGCGCGGUAAGUCACUUGUGAAAUCUCUGAGCUUAACUCGGAACGGUCAAGUGAUACUGUCGUGCUAGAGUACAGAAGGGGCAACUGGAAUUCUCGGUGUAGCGGUGAAAUGCGUAGAUAUCGAGAGGAACACCUGCGGCGAAGGCGGGUUGCUGGGCUGAUACUGACGCUGAGGCGCGAAAGCUAGGGGAGCGAACGGG